rnacentral:rRNA from 1 species
AUGCGCGCGCGAGUCCAACCACCACAUGGAUCGUGGAGCGUGCAGGUCGUCAUUUGGUGGUGGGCUGCGGCGCCGCGGCAGGCCGCCAAGAAUCUCGAGCCUGGCAAGGGAGUUGCGGCGGCGGAGGAUGGGGACGAGGGAGUUGCGGUGGCGGAGGAUGGGGACGAGGGAGUUACGGCGGCGGAGGAUGGGGACGAGGGAGUUGCGGCGGCGGAGGAAUGGGGACGAAGGAGUUGCAGGUCGUCCUCCGGUGGUGGGCCGCGGCGGUGCGGCAGGCGGUUGUGGAGUGUGGAUGGGGACGAGGCACCUGCUGCGUCACGGCGUUGCUCCGCGAGGGGAAUGGCAGCCGGCAGCUGGUGGUGUUCGGGCCGUGCUGAGCCGCGGCGCCAGGGCGGAGGCAUCACGCGAAGCGCGGGGACGAAGCAGCCGCGCGCCUAG